AUUGAACGCUGGCGGCAGGCUUAACACAUGCAAGUCGAACGGUAGCAGGAGAAAGCUUGCUUUCUUGCUGGCGAGUGGCGGACGGGUGAGUAAUGCUUGGGAAUCUGGCUUAUGGAGGGGGAUAACGACGGGAAACUGUCGCUAAUACCGCGUAUUAUCGGAAGAUGAAAGUGCGGGACUGAGAGGCCGCAUGCCAUAGGAUGAGCCCAAGUGGGAUUAGGUAGUUGGUGGGGUAAAUGCCUACCAAGCCUGCGAUCUCUAGCUGGUCUGAGAGGAUGACCAGCCACACUGGAACUGAGACACGGUCCAGACUCCUACGGGAGGCAGCAGUGGGGAAUAUUGCGCAAUGGGGGGAACCCUGACGCAGCCAUGCCGCGUGAAUGAAGAAGGCCUUCGGGUUGUAAAGUUCUUUCGGUAUUGAGGAAGGUUGAUGUGUUAAUAGCACAUCAAAUUGACGUUAAAUACAGAAGAAGCACCGGCUAACUCCGUGCCAGCAGCCGCGGUAAUACGGAGGGUGCGAGCGUUAAUCGGAAUAACUGGGCGUAAAGGGCACGCAGGCGGUUAUUUAAGUGAGGUGUGAAAGCCCUGGGCUUAACCUAGGAAUUGCAUUUCAGACUGGGUAACUAGAGUACUUUAGGGAGGGGUAGAAUUCCACGUGUAGCGGUGAAAUGCGUAGAGAUGUGGAGGAAUACCGAAGGCGAAGGCAGCCCCUUGGGAAUGUACUGACGCUCAUGUGCGAAAGCGUGGGGAGCAAACAGG
rnacentral:rRNA from 1 species